rnacentral:rRNA from 1 species
AGUCCGCCGUCUAUUAGCUAGUUGGUGAGGUAAAGGCCCACCAGGCGACGAUAGGUAGCCGGACUGAGAGGUUGACCGGCCCAUUGGGACUGAGACACGGCCCAGACUCCUACGGGAGGCAGCAGUGGGGAAUAUUGCGCAAUGGGGGAAACCCUGACGCAGCGACGCCGCGUGAAGGAAGAAGGCUUUCGGGUUGUAAACUUCUUUGAUUGGGGACGAAGAAAGUGACGGUACUCAAGGAACAAGCCACGGCUAACUACGUGCCAGCAGCCGCGGUAAUACGUACGUGGCGAGCGUUGUCCGGAAUUACUGGGUGUAAAGGGCGUGUAGGCGGGACUGCACGUCAGAUGUGAAAUAUCACGGCUCAACCGUGGGGCUGCCUCUGAAACUGUAGUUCUUGAUUACUGGAGAGGGAAGCGGAAUUCCUAGUGUACCGGUGAAAUGCGUAGAUAUUAAGAGGAACACCAGUGGCGAACGCGGCUUCCUGGACAGAGACUGACGCUGAGGCGCGAAAGCGUGGGGAGCGAACAGGAUUAGAUACCCUGGUACUCCACGCUGUACACGAUGGAUACUACGUGUAGGAGGUAUCGACCCCUUCUGCGCCCCAGUUACCACACUCUCUAUCCCCCCUGGGGAGUACGGCCGCAACGCUGACACUCAAAGGUAUUGAUGGCGGCCCCGCACAAGCCGCGGAGUCUGUGGCUUAAUUUCUAAGCCCCGCGAAGAACCUUUACCAGGGCUUGACAUCCUUCGCACACACAUGAGAUUGCUGUUUCCUACGGCACAACGCGACAGGCGGUCCAUGGCUGUCGUCCGCUCCUCCUCUUGAUAUGUUCGGGCCUAAGUCCUUCAACCACCGCACCUCUUGUUGUAAGUUCCCUUAUGUUACAGCUGCCGACUAUAACUAGACUGCUCGUGAUAAAUCGGAGCAAGGUGGUGAUUGACCCCAACAUCACUCAUGCCCCUUAUUCCCUGUCAUGACCCACGUACCUACUUAUGGCUACAAUUCGAACGGAAUCGAUUACCCGUCAUGGCGGCAAUCACAAUCCCCGAAAUACGCCAUUCCCUACUUUUCGGCAUUUGUAGGGGCUUU